CCAAUAGCGUAUAUUAAAGUUGUUGCAGUUAAAAAGCUCGUAGUUGAAUUUCGGGGUCAGUAGGUUGGUCAUGCCACCGGUAUGUACUGGUCUCACUGAUUCCUCCUUCCUGAUGAACUGUAAUGCCAUUAAUUUGGUGUUGCAGGGAAUCUGGACUGUUACUUUGAAAAAAUUAGAGUGUUUAAAGCAGGCUAACGCCU
rnacentral:rRNA from 1 species